rnacentral:rRNA from 1 species
GGCGUGCUUAACACAUGCAAGUCGAACGGAAAGGCCCUUUCGGGGGUACUCGAGUGGCGAACGGGUGAGUAACACGUGGGUGAUCUGCCCUGCACUUUGGGAUAAGCCUGGGAAACUGGGUCUAAUACCGAAUACACCCUGCUGGUCGCAUGGCCUGGUAGGGGAAAGCUUUUGCGGUGUGGGAUGGGCCCGCGGCCUAUCAGCUUGUUGGUGGGGUGAUGGCCUACCAAGGCGACGACGGGUAGCCGGCCUGAGAGGGUGACCGGCCACACUGGGACUGAGAUACGGCCCAGACUCCUACGGGAGGCAGCAGUGGGGAAUAUUGCACAAUGGGCGCAAGCCUGAUGCAGCGACGCCGCGUGAGGGAUGACGGCCUUCGGGUUGUAAACCUCUUUCAGCACAGACGAAGCGCAAGUGACGGUAUGUGCAGAAGAAGGACCGGCCAACUACGUGCCAGCAGCCGCGGUAAUACGUAGGGUCCGAGCGUUGUCCGGAAUUACUGGGCGUAAAGAGCUCGUAGGUGGUUUGUCGCGUUGUUCGUGAAAACUCACAGCUUAACUGUGGGCGUGCGGGCGAUACGGGCAGACUAGAGUACUGCAGGGGAGACUGGAAUUCCUGGUGUAGCGGUGGAAUGCGCAGAUAUCAGGAGGAACACCGGUGGCGAAGGCGGGUCUCUGGGCAGUAACUGACGCUGAGGAGCGAAAGCGUGGGGAGCGAACAGGAUUAGAUACCCUGGUAGUCCACGCCGUAAACGGUGGGUACUAGGUGUGGGUUUCCUUCCUUGGGAUCCGUGCCGUAGCUAACGCAUUAAGUACCCCGCCUGGGGAGUACGGCCGCAAGGCUAAAACUCAAAGGAAUUGACGGGGGCCCGCACAAGCGGCGGAGCAUGUGGAUUAAUUCGAUGCAACGCGAAGAACCUUACCUGGGUUUGACAUGCACAGGACGCCGGCAGAGAUGUCGGUUCCCUUGUGGCCUGUGUGCAGGUGGUGCAUGGCUGUCGUCAGCUCGUGUCGUGAGAUGUUGGGUUAAGUCCCGCAACGAGCGCAACCCUUGUCUCAUGUUGCCAGCACGUUAUGGUGGGGACUCGUGAGAGACUGCCGGGGUCAACUCGGAGGAAGGUGGGGAUGACGUCAAGUCAUCAUGCCCCUUAUGUCCAGGGCUUCACACAUGCUACAAUGGCCGGUACAAAGGGCUGCGAUGCCGUGAGGUGGAGCGAAUCCUUUCAAAGCCGGUCUCAGUUCGGAUCGGGGUCUGCAACUCGACCCCGUGAAGUCGGAGUCGCUAG